rnacentral:rRNA from 1 species
AGUGAACGCUGGCGGUAGGCCUAACACAUGCAAGUCGAACGGCAGCACAGUAAGAGCUUGCUCUUACGGGUGGCGAGUGGCGGACGGGUGAGGAAUACAUCGGAACCUACUUUUUCGUGGGGGAUAACGUAGGGAAACUUACGCUAAUACCGCAUACGACCUACGGGUGAAAGCAGGGGACCUUCGGAACUUGCGCGAUUGACUGAGCCGAUGUCGGAUUAGCUAGCUGGCGGGGUAAAGGCCCACCAAGGCAACGAUCCGUAGCUGGUCUGAGAGGAUGAUCACCCACACUAGAACUGCGACACGGUCCAGACGCCUUCGGGACGCACCAGUGGGGAAGUGUCGACAAUGGCCGCAAUCUUGAUCCAGCCAUAGCGCGUAGAUCAAGAAGGCUUUCGUGUUGUAAGACCUUUUUCUUAGGAAAGAAAAGCGGCAGGUUAAUACCCCGCUGUUCUGACGGUACCCAAGGAAUAAGCACCGGCUAGCUUCGUG